UGGGGAAUUUUGCACAAUGGGGGAAACCCUGAUGCAGCGACGCCGCGUGAUUUAGAAGGCCUUCGGGUUGUAAAAAUCUUUUUUAUGGGAUGAAAAUGACAGUACCAUAAGAAUAAGGUCCGGCUAAAUACGUGCCAGCAGCCGCGGUAAUACGUAUGGACCGAGCGUUGUCCGGAAUCAUUGGGCGUAAAGGGUACGUAGGCGGCCCAGUAAGUUAGAAGUGAAAUAAUAUAGCUCAACUAUAUAAAGCUUUUAAAACUGCUGGGCUUGAGAGAUGGAAGGGAAAGUGGAAUUCCUAGUGUAGCGGUGAAAUGCGCAGAUAUUAGGAAGAAUACCGGUGGCGAAGGCGACUUUCUGGUCAUCAUCUGACGCUGAGGUACGAAAGCGUGGGUAGCAAACAGG
rnacentral:rRNA from 1 species